UACAGAGGGUGCAAACGUUGCUCGGAAUUACUGGGCGUAAAGCGCGUGUAGGCUGCUUUUUAAGUCCGACGUGAAAACCCCGGGGCUCAACCCCGGAGUGCGUUGGAUACUGAGAAGCUGGAGUCCUGAAGAGGAGAGCGGAAUUCCCGGUGUAGAGGUGAAAUUCGUAGAUAUCGGGAGGAACACCUGUGGCGAAGGCGGCUCUCUGGGCAGGCACUGACGCUGAGACGCGAAAGCGUGGGGAGCAAACAGGAUUAGAUACCCCAGUAGU
rnacentral:rRNA from 1 species